CUUUCUGAGGCCUUCUCUAUUUCCUUCUAGCAGGGGAAGCCCUCCUUGACUUGGAGAAGUGGGUUUCGUCCUCCCUCUUUCUCUGGGUUGGAUUGUAGUUAGUUUUUUCAUCUUUUGACUUUCUCUUUUACAGAUCUGUGGUUAUAUGUGGACGUUUAUAUAAUCUGUGUGGGAAGUUUCGGUAGAUGAAGCUCUACUUGGUUGUUUUCAGCUGAAGAAGAGAAUAAGCCCUCCUUUACCCUUAACUAGUAUUCCUCUUGGUGAAGGAUGGUCAUGGAAGCAUACUGUGUCGACUUGUGCUCUACCAAGCUUGCAUGGCAUUGGUUUAGGGUUAUCUGGUGGUUUGCAGGUGAGGUACGAUUUGGGAGAUCGAAUCGAAAGGUGCGAGUGGGACUCUGAAGAGCCCCAUUGCCACUUACCUCUGCCUAUUGAUACUGACAAGAUGCUUACAUGAUUUCGACUAUUUGUAGGUUCUCCCUUCGCUCUAUGUUUCACCUCUGUUUGUGCUUAGUACCAAUAGAUCUGUGAGUUUGGAUAUGUAUUUGAGGAUUGGGG
rnacentral:misc_RNA from 1 species